GAUGAACGCUGGCGGCGUGCCUAAUACAUGCAAGUCGAGCGAACGGACGAGAAGCUUGCUUCUCUGAUGUUAGCGGCGGACGGGUGAGUAACACGUGGAUAACCUACCUAUAAGACUGGGAUAACUUCGGGAAACCGGAGCUAAUACCGGAUAAUAUUUUGAACCGCAUGGUUCAAAAGUGAAAGACGGUCUUGCUGUCACUUAUAGAUGGAUCCGCGCUGCAUUAGCUAGUUGGUAAGGUAACGGCUUACCAAGGCAACGAUGCAUAGCCGACCUGAGAGGGUGAUCGGCCCCACUGGAACUGAGACACGGUCCAGAAUCCUACGGAAGGCAGCAGUAGGGAAUCUUCCGCAAUGGGCGAAAGCCUGACGGAGCGACGCCGCGUGAGUGAUGAAGGUCUUCGGAUCGUAAAACUCUGUUAGUAGGGAAGAACAUAUGUGUAAGUGACUGUGCACAUCUUGACGGUACCUAAUCAGAAAGCCACGGCUAACUACGUG
rnacentral:rRNA from 1 species